CGGGUGAGUAAUGUCUGGGAAACUGCCUGAUGGAGGGGGAUAACUACUGGAAACGGUAGCUAAUACCGCAUAACGUCGCAAGACCAAAGAGGGGGACCUUAGGGCCUCUUGCCAUCGGAUGUGCCCAGAUGGGAUUAGCUAGUAGGUGGGGUAAUGGCUCACCUAGGCGACGAUCCCUAGCUGGCUGAGAGGAUGACCAGCCACACUGGAACUGAGACACGGUCCAG
rnacentral:rRNA from 1 species